ensembl:miRNA Mir3105 microRNA 3105
GAGCAGGCUAUGGAGAGCAAGCCCGUAAGCAGCGGAAGUUACGGAGGAAAACUGCUUAUGAGCUUGCACUCCAUAGCCUCUGCUU